UUCCACCCCUGGCCUGCAGUGACCCGUUCCUGCUGGGCUUCCCUCCCUUUCUCCGAUUCAUCCUACAUGUGGGCCAUCCUUUCUUUCUUGUACUAUUUCCCUUUGUUUUUAACUUUCUCUACCCCUUGUCGCACGUCAAACACACAGAGUCUCUUCCUGCACCCAUCCGACAGGAACGUUCGGUAUGGGACAGCAGGACACAGGGGUGUAACCAUUAAGGGCACGAAACGCCUUUGCUUUUUUUGCCAAGCAGCACACAAAUGCUCGCAGGCUUUUGAUUUCUGAUAGGCCGGAGAAAUGCCUGUGCAUCAGCACUCUUGAAAUGAAGUGCAGAUUCAGCUCUCUGCAGGGACUGCGCUUUCAGAGGACAGAACCUGAAACACAGCACAGGUUGUGGGCGUAUUGUGGUCAAGAGGCCAGCGAGAGGAGCCGGGGACUGUUUGUGUAUGUGUUAAGACGACGUCAGAGGAACAGAUCUACCACAAUGCACAAGCAUCACCAAGUGCGAAAGCCAUCAAAAUCAGAGAUCCGAGCUGGAGGAAACCCAGGACUACUGCUUCUCCAUCACUCAGCCAGACACGGAGCAGAUGCUGAGGGCACCUGUGCGGGUAAAGCUGUCACAGAAGUCUUCAAACAAUCUGGAAGGGUGUAGCAUAUGGACAAGUGGAUGACCACAGACACCUAAUUGUACUUGAAUCACAUGAUUGGCCAAAAAAUCGAGAGAGAAACCAUUAGAUGCUUGUUGUCUACAGGAGCACCCCUUUAAGUGACAUUCCCAGGAUUCCUAGCAGCUGGUGGAAAGGUACUCCGCGGUGACCCCUGCGACCCUUGCACAUUGAUAUCCGAGACAAAGUGUCUUUACCUUUCUCUGAGGUUACAGUCGAAUAAACAGUCCUCGGGCCACA
ensembl:lncRNA